GACGAACGCUGGCGGCGUGCCUAAUACAUGCAAGUCGAGCGCAGCGGCGGAUGGGUGAGUAACGCGUGGGUAACCUGCCCUUCAGUCUGGGAUAUCAUUUGGAAACAGAUGUUCAUACCGGAUACUGAAGGAUGGGCUUGCGAUGAAUUAGCUAGUUGGUAAGGUAACGGCUUACCAAGGCGAUGAUGCAUAGCCGAGUUGAGAGACUGAUCGGCCACACUGGGACUGAGACACGGCCCAAACUCCUACGGGAGGCAGCAGUAGGGAAUCUUCCACAAUGGACGAAAGUCUGAUGGAGCAACGCCGCGUGAGUGAAGAAGGUUUUCGGAUCGUAAAGCUCUGUUGUUGGUGAAGCGGUAAUCAACCAGAAAGUCACGGCUAACUACGUGCCAGCAGCCGCGGUAAUUC
rnacentral:rRNA from 1 species